rnacentral:rRNA from 1 species
GGACCCGCACAAGCGGUGGAGCAUGUGGUUUAAUUCGACGCAACGCGAAGAACCUUACCAGGGCUUGACAUCCCUUGACAGCCAUGGAAACAUGGAAUUCGGUCCUUCGGGACCGACAAGGAGACAGGUGGUGCAUGGUUGUCGUCAGCUCGUGUCGUGAGAUGUUGGGUUAAGUCCCGCAACGAGCGCAACCCCUAUUUUCAGUUGCCAGCACGUAACGGUGGGAACUCUGAAGAAACUGCCGGUGACAAACCGGAGGAAGGUGGGGACGACGUCAAAUCAUCAUGCCCUUUAUGUCCUGGGCUACACACGUGCUACAAUGGCCGGUACAGAGGGUGGCGAAGCCGUAAGGCGGAGCGAAUCCCCAAAGCCGGUCUCAGUUCGGAUUGCAGGCUGCAACCCGCCUGCAUGAAGUCGGAAUCGCUAGUAAUCGCGAGUCAGCAUAUCGCGGUGAAUACGUUCCCGGGUCUU